rfam:Ornithorhynchus anatinus chromosome 3, whole genome shotgun sequence.
UCCUUCUCAGGAUUGCACCUGGAGAGUUUCCAGUACUCUACCAGCUUCUGUUACAGGAUGGAGAGUCGAGCAGAGGCCUACCCCAUUCCACUCCUAGCUUGGGCAGUGACUAGCGAGUGGAAAGCAAUUUGCUACAAAU